CUGCAAAGAACCUUUUUGAUUAAAACGGUUCUAUAAUUUUUGAAUCAUAACAUAAUUAUUUAGUAAAGAUUAUGAAAUAAUUAUAAGUUAUAACACAGAGAGACAAAGCUUUUUGAGUCAAAACCUAAUAAAUGCUGUGGUCAAAAACUUAAUCAGUGUACAGUAUGAUGGGAUUUUUUUAUGCAGGUUUGUACAAUAGCAUAUAACUUAUAGGCCUAGUUUAUGUUUAACAUUUUUGACAAAUUAUUUUGUGAAAUAAAUAAAAUAACCAAUUUAUUUAGACUGUGCAGUAACAUGUUGUUAUGGUUUAAUAAUUUAUUUGAAACUAAUAAUCAUAAAAAAGCCCUCUGGUGACGUCAGUCAUUGACAAGGACAUCGUCAUGGACCAGUGGUGAAGAGCCGCGAGAGAAGGUUAAUUUUUCGAAAGGAGAAGUCCACUAUUUCAGCUUCAUCAUUCAGCCUGGAAACUGAACUGCUUCAUAAAACUUGUGCUUGAAAAGUGUCAUGGGACCCAUAUUAAGUUUCCAAAUUUGAUCUGCUGCACACAAGUAGCUUUGAAGAAGAAGGAUCCCAGCUUAAAGAAAAACAUGUCACAUCCAUAAUUGUUUGACAUCAUCUUCAAGCACACCUGGAUUCCUUGUUGCAAUGUCUUCAAAACAAAUGUAAAAAUGAAAGUAUUUCAGUGGUGAGCUCAUAUGAUGGGAUCAAAAGGAAGUGAACUGGACUCUGAGGGACUUAACACAAGAUUGUGAUGGACCUAGAAUGCGACAUCGUUUACGAAUAAGUCAAGAACCAAAUGAAACACUAUUUUCCAGAGCGCAGAUUAUGGAGGGGUCUGCAAAACUAAUGGAGCAGUUUCUUCUUCUUGGAGUGCCACAGCUUGCGAGUAACCAAACACUGUUACAUUGUGUGCCAAAUAGAUAUGAAAAAUCUGUGUAUAUGACAUUUUAAAGCUCAUUUGGUAAAGCAAGGCAUUAGCAAUGCCAGAUGUGUUCCAGAUCACACAUAUUAAUAAAUGUAUAGAUUAAACACAAUCUACGUCCCUUUGGAUAAAAGUAUCUGCCAAAUA